GACUUGUGCAGACGCAUUUGGCUCUCGCCCGAAGGACGCUGCAGCCGGCGGGGCAGUGCAAACGCGACGGCCUGAAGGUCGGGAGAUGGCAGGUGGCCGGCGGCGCGCCUCGUGCGCGUCUGCCGGUUGUUAGCCGUCCCGUCAGUGGCCCGUCGCCCCGCCGAGGUGUCACCAGGCCCCCCAUGGGGCUUCUCCGCCCGCUUAAUCGUUAAGCGAGUAGCCGUUGCUGGGCACCGACCGGAGACUCGUCGCCCUCCCUCAGGAGGGGACGGUAGUCGAGCCGGACCCGCAGGCGACGUGAAGGCUCGCGGCAGGCCGGAGGCUGGCAGCGAGUAGGUCGGUCACCCACCCGACCCGUCUUGAAACACGGACCAAGGAGUCCAACAUGUGCGCGAGUCAAUGGGUCUUGAACAGGCCCAGGGGCGCAAUGAAAGCAAAGGCCGGCACAUCGCCGGCCGAGUCGGGAUCCCCGGCCUCGGCCGGGG
rnacentral:rRNA from 1 species